UCUUGUGUUUUCUCUGUAGAUGGAAAAAGCUUUCUUGCUUUCAUAUAAUGGCAGGACAGUGAGGGAGGGAGCUGCCCUGUCUGAGGAGAUGUUGGGACAAUUGCGCUCCCUUGCACUAGAGUCAAACACUCCCUAAUCUCCAUGUGAGAGUGGUCUUGCCCUCCAUCACAGAGAUUAGAUCCAGAACGAUGGAUGUGGCUGUGGGGGGAUUCAAAGGAGGCUGGACAUUUUAUUUUUUGUGUGAUUCCCUCCACUGACAUGCAAGAUCAUCGAGGACUCAAGAGUUUGAUUUUAUCACCACUGCAUCCCCAGGAAUUAGAACAGUGCCACUAGGCACAGCCAGGGUGCUCAAUACUUGGUUUAGGGAUGAAUGAGGCCCCUGUUUUGGCUCUAGGAAUUCAUUCUAACCCUUCUAGAAUUCAACAUCAGGGCCCAGUUUCAACUGAUAGAGACACUGUCCAGCUGCAGGGGUCUGCAAAGUCCUGGCCAGAAGGAAAUUACUCCUCAUCUGAGGCCACGAGAGGACACAAAUCAGAGGCAGAACAGUGCAGAAGACUAACGAAAGAAACCUGCAAGGGGAAUGCAAUGAGUUGCCAAACCAGAGAGAGCAGAAGCAAAUAUCAAAGCCAGGGACCACAGCCAGGAAUCCAAGAUCCAGUGAGAUGAAGAGAAAGAGCAAGUGGGCCGAGGUCUCCUGUACCCGCACCUCCACAUCAGAAAUAGAAGCAUUUUCCCGAUAUGAUGAGAAAACUUUGUCGCACCAAAAAACACUUUCUCCUUCAUGCCAGUACUCUGGGAACUUUGUGGGCCGGCCUCCAACCAUUCUGCGGGCACCUCCUGCACAUUCAUGACCUACUCUCCACUGGGGGAGGAGCCAGAAGAUCCAGAUUGAUAAGUCACCUCACAGUCCAAAAUGGCUGCAGGAAAUCCAACCAUCACGCCACAUUCAAAUCAUUGAAAUGAAGGGGAGAAGAAGAGCAAGUCCUUCUCUUUUGGGACACUUCCAGAAAUUACAUUUCUGCUGACCUCCACUGGCCAUACUUAGUCACAUGGCUACAUCCAGCUGCAAGGGAGAUGAGGAAAUAGGCUUUUUAUUCUCAGAGACCACAUGCCCAGUUACAAAUGAAGGGUCUGUAACUCAGGAGGAAGGGAAACCAGGAGUCGCUACCACAAACGACCAUUUCUCCGCCCUCUUCUUCAUCUCCCUGCCAGUAGCAUCUCACCACAACCCCCACAGACACUUCUUGUCUUUACUGCCAAGAAGGAAACCACACUCUCCUGAUUUUCCUCCUCUCUUCCCUUGAAUGCUGGAAUGAUUUAGGGCUGUCCAGGGGACACCCUCACCUUAUUCUCUGUCCAUAUUUUUCUCCUAUGUAAUCUUAUCUAGUCCCAAGGAUUUAAAUUCAGUGCCAGUGAAUCUUAAAUCUUCUCCCCUUAAUCUCAGAGUCAUAUAUGCAGCUGCUACUUAGCUGUCUAACGAGUAUCCCAACCUUACCUCUUCAUGUCCACCCCAAGUCCUGCCUAUCAUAGUAAAUAGCAACAGUAACUUAAGCCAGGAAUUGU